rnacentral:lncRNA from 1 species
AAUUUUUUUUUUUUUUUUUUGAGGUUUUAAGUUACCGCUCUACCCUUAGGUAGAGGGGAAUUAUUUGGCCACCCGCCUUUCAAGGGGGAAAUCGCCACGUCGUAAUAUGUAACUUGUUACAGGUUUGCUCCAAUACUUACCUGGCGUAGAGGUUAUGUUCCCCACGUGCUUUAACCUUUUUUAUAUAUACAAAAUUAAUUCUUUAAACAUAUCGGUGUGGAGGAGACCAUAAAGGAGACCCUAAGACUGAAGGUUCGCUUGCGACAGCUGGUGGCUAAUAUCUCCGCCUUUUUUAAGUAAAAAAUUUUUCCUCUUGCAGAUUGGCAUCAAAUGGAGGCUGUAAUCAUGGGGAGAGAUGAAAUUCCUUCACGUCCAGAAUGCAGGGCCAAGGCAAUGCCACAGCCCCAAGCUGGCAAUGUGCAUCACAAGUAAAUGACAACGCUUCGAUGCUGCCAAAUAAACGUCCUGAUCUCCUUUUAGGAUAUUUUUGCGUGGAGCUCGUUGGUGUCGCUGCCAUUUAAUGUGGAAUGGCGCAGCUCAUCCUCUGCGCUAUCGUCGGCAGAGCCCAGGUCCUCCUUAUUAAUGGUGGCUACCACCGUUGGGUGCGACAUUUUCUGGCUUAAAGUUGGCCAGAGACGAGUUUCAGAAACAAGGGCGAUAUCCACCUGGAAGGAGUACAAAGUGGAAACCUUGAAAGUGAUUAAGAGUUUCUAGAGAAUACCAUUGCUUCCUAAUGCUUUGUGUGUGAUGGCCCGUGUUGACAAUAAAUAUCCACGCUCUUCGUGGGCGGGAUGGGGC